CUGGAGAUCACUGCCUACCUGAGGUCUUUUGAGGGAACACUGAUACAAGCUGCUUGGAAGGGCUUCCAGUUAUGAAUGUAGUUAAACAUCUUUUCUAAUAAAGCUAAACCUCCUAGUUCAGGAAGUCCGUCCUGGAUAAGAUUGAACAGAAUUGUAUACAGUACUGCCGUUUCUGUGGUAUGCUAUUCCAAAGGCCACGUAUUAAGGACUGUAGGCAUUCCUGUUUGAAGCCAAACAAGUUCUGAUGGAAGAAGAGCCUCUCUCACAGAGGGAGCAUCCAAGCAAAAGAAUCUGUAGAAUAUAUUCAAAGGAUUUCAGCAUGGGAUUGCAGGACCUGUAGACAGGAUGAUAUUUGUCAAAGUACCAAAAAGGCACCAAAUCAUUGGGAUAGAACAAGGAACAAAGAAUUGUAUUCCAUGUGCUCUCCUUUCAAGACUUGAACUAUCCCUGUGUCUCCAGGUAUUCAUUCUGAGAUGACAGUACGAGAAAGUGCAAACAGCUGUAUCCGAAGCACUUCCAGGUCAGAGUUCUUCUACGAAAUGGCUAAAUCCCUGGUUAUACAGGGAGCCACUUGAGUUAGAGUCAAAAACACGUGAAGAAAGUUCUGCAGCUUCUAUCCUUGUUCUGCGGAGGCAUAAGCUGACCAAGAGUGGGAGCCAGCAACCCAGAAGGAGCCAAAUUCUAUUUUUACCCAGAACAGUGUACAGUUCUCAAGAAGUCCAGGGUUUUCCUCCAGAUCAGCAGCACGGUGUCAGGGAGCAGCAGACCACUCAUUGCCUUGACUGGUGGCAGCAUGCAGAAAUUGGAACCAGAUUCAGUUGUUCCCAUACAAAUUUUUCAUAAGAGCUAGUGAUGUUUGCUGUGAAGUUCAGAAUUGUAGCUGUUUCCAUAUAUUAUUUUCCCAAAGCUGCCCAUUUUGGGGUUUGGCCAAGGAGCUGUAAGAGAUGUAGGUUAACUUUACAUUCUCUUAAAAUUGCUUGCUUGCACUGUUUCAACUCUAUGAAAUUAUCAAGGUGCUUAACAUGCAAAAGAAUAAGACUUGACAUUACAUUUAUUCCUGCACAGUGAAUUCAAGGUCAGUAUGAGCUAUUGUCAAUUGCUGUCUGAAUAUAUUACGUGAAUAACUCUAUUCAAAGACCAAUAAAAUAGAUUUCUUGCAAUCAUGCUGUAGAAAUAGACAAGAUUUGGCUCGUCCUAGUUAAACAAGGACUCUCUGGGAAUUAAAAACCUAUGCUAGCUUGUUUACACAACAAUGGUAAAUUGAAAUUGUCAAAGUUGUGCAGAAAUUUCAGCUGAAAAAUUCGUGUGUUUUUUUAAUCUAGUUCAGAUGCAUUCUGUGUUUUUAUAACAUAAGAAUCUCCUACCAGUAGGAAAUGACAAUUUUUGAAAACCUUCAAAAAUUAUCCCUUGUUCUAAGUUAUAACCUUAGGAAUGAGUCCCUGAGAGCUGGUCUGUACAUUUGACCCUCUGUUAUUGCAAGCUAGAGCCAGCUCACUCAGUUUUUCACAGUUUUUCUCAGUCACUCUCUUUUCAUGUAGUCCAUGUUUGCUGCUAUAUUCAUCUGUGCUUCUACCUGCUUAGCUUAUGGUGAGCCACAGAGAAUAUGUGCUGCUGUAUCAGCAUAACUACAUCUACUUUGAGGCCUUGGGAAUGAAAAUGGUGGUAUUUUGUUAAACUGCUGAAAAUUACUAGUGGAUAUUUUCUGGCUCACUUUUGUUGGAACCGUGGCUCACUUUUGUUGGAACAUUGCUAAUAUUUCCUGUAGAUGUAUAGUGCAAUAGAUGCAUAGAAAGUGAAAGUCAUAUCACAGAUGCCUGACAUACACAUACACUGCCCUCAAGAUCUUCCCUGAAGACAAAGGAAUGAUAAGUAGGUGUGAAAACUUCUCUGUUGACUUAGUCAGAUCAUUAGAUGAAUUACUUACUAGAUUCAAAGCAAUUAGGCUGGGCUGCUCUUUUUUUCUGAAAAAAAAAAAUCUCUCCUGGAAAUAGUGGGGUUACUCAGGUAUCACUAUAGAUGUGUGUUGGAUUUAGAAGUGUUAUUGAUCUUGGCCUUAUGUAAGAAAGAAAGUUUCCAAAUCUCAGAGUUCAAGCUGUUUGCAGAGUUGAUAGCUGAAACCACUACAUAUGUUGCAUGCAUGUUUAUAUGCUGUAUGUAAAUCAUGACAUGUAACGUUGUUAAGUAAGCGUGGGAUAGAAUCACACCUAAAUUAAAGAGAAUUUGGCUUUUUUUCCUGUGUAGAAAUACAUAAGCCUAUCAGCAUGUCAUGGAGUAUAUAAUUCUGCUUUGAACUGCGUGUUGGCUCAUUAAAUACUCAUUAUCAGAAAUAGCUUUCACUGUCACCCACUCUUCUGCCUAUAUGGCUACACUGGAUUGUGCUUUAUCAACUGACCCAAGAUUCAACUGAAGCCACUUCAGUCUUCUGUUCCCAACUCCCUACU